rnacentral:tRNA from 1 species
UGGCAGAUAUGCAAGUGGUCAAAGCAAGCCGACUGUAAAUCGGUUCCAAAUGGUUCGUGGGUUCGAAUCCCACCAUGCCAA